rnacentral:rRNA from 1 species
ACGAGCGGCGAACGGGUGAGUAACAGGUGGAUAAUCUGCCUUUCCGGAGGGGGACAACGGCUGGAAACGGCCGCUAAUACCGCAUUCGGUUGCCGAGACCUCGGUCUUGGCAAAGAAAGGAGCUUCUGCUCCGCCGGGAGAUGAGUCCGCCCCCCAUUAGCUAGUUGGCGGGAUAACAGCCCACCAAGGCUUCGAUGGGUAGCCGAGCUGAGAGGUUGAUCGGCCACACUGGAACUGAGACACGGUCCAGACACCUACGGGUGGCAGCAGUAGGGAAUAUUGCGCAAUGGGCGAAAGCCUGACGCAGCCAUGCCGCGUGGAUGACGAAGGCCUUCGGGUCGUAAAGCCCUUUUCUGAGGGAAGAACAAGCGGGGGAGUGGAAAGCCCUCGCCCUGACGGUACCUCAGGAAUAAGCAACGGCUAACUCCGUGCCAGCAGCCGCGGUAAUACGGAGGUUGCGAGCGUUGUUCGGAAUUACUGGGCGUAAAGGGAGCGCAGGCGGCCGGGCCAGUCUAAAGUGAAAGCCCACGGCUCAACCGUGGACGUGCUUUGGAUACUAUCCGGCUUGAGUACGUGAGAGGUGAGCGGAAUUCCAGGUGUAGCGGUGAAAUGCGUAGACAUCUGGAGGAACAUCGGUGGCGAAAGCGGCUCACUGGCACGAAACUGACGCUGAGGCUCGAAAGCGUGGGGAGCGAACGGGAUUAGAUACCCCGGUAGUCCACGCCGUAAACGUUGUGCACUAGGUGUGGGAGGUAUCGACCCCUCCCGUGCCGGAGCUAACGCAUUAAGUGCACCGCCUGGGGAGUACGGUCGCAAGACUGAAACUCAAAUGAAUUGACGG